GUGGAUGUAGCUCAACAGGUAAGAGCACCAGAUUGUGGAUCUGGGGGUUGUGGGUUCAAGUCCCAUCAUCCACC
rnacentral:tRNA from 1 species